UACAGAGGGUGCAAGCGUUAAUCGGAAUUACUGGGCGUAAAGCGUGCGUAGGCGGUUAUUUAAGUCAGGUGUGAAAGCCCAGGGCUCAACCUUGGAAUUGCAUUUGAGACUGAAUAGCUAGGGUGCGGAAGAGGGAAGCGGAAUUUCCGGUGUAGCGGUGAAAUGCGUAGAUAUCGGGAGGAACACCUGUGGCGAAAGCGGCUCACUGGACCACAACUGACGCUGAUGCGCGAAAGCUAGGGGAGCAAACAGG
rnacentral:rRNA from 1 species